UGCUAAUUGUAAAAGUUUCCUAACUACAUUUAUUUUAUAUCCACCUUGAUCAGGCUCCAACAAGAGGGAGUGAAAGAGCAUGAGGAGAUAGAAGAAGAAGAGGAGGAGGUUGUUUUUGUCUUAACAGAUGAGUGGAGGGAGUUUUUUGCAAAAUCUGAGGCUAAAAGGAGAUUAGCUAAGCAGCAGAAAAGUAAGGGGACCAAGUAAACAAACAGCUAAUAUUUUGGAAGCUACUCUUGUUUCUUCUCUUCUUCUUUUUGUUGUAUAUUUUUUACCUCUAACUUACCCAUGUUACAAUGUAUGAGAAGAUCUUGAACAGCUUGAGUUUUAACUAAUUUGAAGAGCUUGAGUUA